UACGAGGUGGACAAACGUUAUUCGGAUUUACUGGGCUUAAAGCGUGCGUAGGCGGCUUAGAAAGUUGGGUGUGAAAGCCCUCGGCUCAACCGAGGAAUUGCGCCCAAAACUACUGAGCUUGAGGGAGAUAGGGGAGAGCGGAACUGAUGGUGGAGCGGUGAAAUGCGUUGAUAUCAUCAGGAACACCGGUGGCGAAGGCGGCUCUCUGGAUCUCUUCUGACGCUGAGGCACGAAAGCUAGGGGAGCAAACGGG
rnacentral:rRNA from 1 species